UGAACAAUCUACCCUUCUCAUCGGAAUAAGCGUUGGAAACGACGUCUAAUGCCGAAUACGACCUCCUUUCGCAUGAUCGGAGGUGGAAAGCUCCGGCGGAGAAGGAUGAGCUCGCGGCCUAUCAGCUAGUUGGUGUGGGUAAUGGCCCACCAAGGCGACGACGGGUAGCCGGCCUGAGAGGGUGACCGGCCACACUGGGACUGAGACACGGCCCAGACUCCUACGGGAGCAGCAGG
rnacentral:rRNA from 1 species